AGAGUUUGAUCCUGGCUCAGGACGAACGCUGGCGGCGUGCUUAACACAUGCAAGUCGAACGAUGAAGACCGGUGCUUGCACUGGUUGGAUUAGUGGCGAACGGGUGAGUAAUACGUGAGUAACCUGCCUUUGACUCUGGGAUAAGCCUUGGAAACGAGGUCUAAUACCGGAUACGACUAACCUUCGCAUGAAGUGUUAGUGGAAAGGGUUUGUACUGGUUUUAGAUGGGCUCACGGCCUAUCAGCUUGUUGGUGAGGUAAUGGCUCACCAAGGCGACGACGGGUAGCCGGCCUGAGAGGGUGACCGGCCACACUGGGACUGAGACACGGCCCAGACUCCUACGGGAGGCAGCAGUGGGGAAU
rnacentral:rRNA from 1 species